rnacentral:rRNA from 1 species
UCUACAGUGUAGACGGGGGCGUAGCCGGCACCGACCUGGCCAGGGUGGUUCAUGACGAUGACCUGAGCGGUGAAAGAAGCGGCACCCAUGGGGGGGUCGUUCUUGGAGUCACCGGCAACGUUACCACGGCGAAUUUCCUUAACGGAAACGUUCUUGACGUUGAAACCAACGUUGUCACCGGGAACACCCUCGACGAGCUGCUCGUGGUGCAUCUCGACGGACUUGACUUCAGUGGUGACGUUGGAGGGAGCGAAGGUGACGACCAUACCGGGCUUGAGGAUACCAGUCUCGAUACGGCCGACGGGAACUGUUCCAAUACCACCGAUCUUGUAGACAUCCUGGAGGGGAAGACGGAGGGGCUUGUCCGUGGGACGCUUGGGGGGCUCGAUGGAGUCGAUAGCCUCAAGGAGGGUCUUGCCGGUGAACUUGCCAGCCUUGGUCUCCUUCUCCCAGCCCUUGUACCAGGGGCAGUUGGUGGAGGGCUGGAGCAUGUUGUCACCGUUGAAGCCGGAGAUGGGGACGAAAGCAACAGCCUUGGGGUUGAAGCCGACCUUCUUGAUGAAGUUGGAAGUCUCCUUGAUGAUUUCCUGGUAACGAGCCUCGGCCCAGUUGGCAGUGUCCAUCUUGUUGAUGGCAACAAUGAGCUGCUUGACACCCAGGGUGUAGGCGAGCAGAGCGUGCUCACGGGUCUGGCCAUCCUUGGAGAUACCAGCCUCGAACUCACCAGUACCGGCGGCAAUGAUGAGGAUAGCGCAAUCGGCCUGGGAAGUACCAGUGAUCAUGUUCUUGAUGAAAUCACGGUGGCCGGGAGCGUCUGUGAAUUGCUUGUUAGCACUGGCUUGUAAUCGCUGUGUGAAGUUGAUGGAAAGAACAUACCAAUGACGGUGACAUAGUACUUGGGAGUCUCGAACUUCCACAGAGCAAUGUCGAUGGUGAUACCACGCUCACGCUCGGCCUUGAGCUUGUCAAGAACCCAAGCGUA